UUCCGGUUGAUCCUGCCGGAGGCUACUGCUAUCGGGGUUCGAUUAAGCCAUGCAAGUUAAAUGUUCUUCGUGAACAUAGCGAACUGCUCAGUAACACGUGGAUAACCUACCCUUGGGACCGGAAUAACCCCGGGAAACUGGGGAUAAUACCGGAUAAAUCAUAGAUGCUGGAAUGCCCUAUGGUUCAAAGCUCCGGCGCCUAAGGAUGGAUCUGCGGUCUAUCAGGUUGUAGUGGGUGUAACGUACCUACUAGCCAACGACGGAUACGGGUUGUGAGAGCAAGAGCCCGGAGAUGGAUUCUGAGACACGAAUCCAGGCCCUACGGGGUGCAGCAGGCGCGAACACUUUACAAUGCGGGAAACCGCGAUAAGGGAACCCCGAGUGCCAGCAUCAAAUGUUGGCUGUCCGGAUGAUUAAAAAUCAUUUGUUAGCAAGGGCCGGGCAAGACCGGUGCCAGCCGCCGCGGUAACACCGGCGGCCCGAGUGGUAGCCGUUUUUAUUGGGUCUAAAGGGUCCGUAGCCGGCCUGAUAAGUCCUUUGGGAAAUCUGACAGCUUAACUGUCAGGCUUCUAAGGGAUACUGUCAGGCUUGGGACCGGAAGAGGUAAGGGGUACUCCAGGGGUAGGAGUGAAAUCUUGUAAUCCCUGGGGGACCAUCUGUGGCGAAGGCGCCUUACCAGAACGGGUCCGACGGUGAGGGACGAAAGCUAGGGGAGCAAACCGGAUUAGAUACCCGGGUAGUCCUAGCUGUAAACGAUGCUCGCUAGGUGUCAGACACGGUGCGACCGUGUUUGGUGCCGCAGGGAAGCCGUUAAGCGAGCCACCUGGGAAGUACGGUCGCAAGGCUGAAACUUAAAGGAAUUGGCGGGGGAGCACUACAACGGGUGG
rnacentral:rRNA from 1 species